AGGGUUUGAUUAUGGCUCAGAACGUACGCUGGCGGCACGCCUUAUACAUGCAAGUCGAACGAAGUAGUAAUACUUAGUGGCAGACGGGUGAGUAACAUGUAGGUAUCUUCCCUUUGGUGAGGAAUAACACGAGGAAACUUGUGCUAAUACCUCAUAAGUCUUUACGGAGAAAGCUUUAUGCACCAUUGGAUGAGCCCGCACUUGAUUAGUUUGUUGGUGGGGUAAUGGCCUACCAAGACUGUGAUCAAUAGCUGAUUUGAGAGGAUGAUCAGCCACAUUGGGACUGAGACACGGCCCAAACUCCUACGGGAGGCAGCAGUGGGGAAUCUUGCACAAUGGAGGAAACUCUGAUGCAGCGAUGCCGCGUGAGUGAAGAAGGCCUUUGGGUUGUAAAGCUCUUUCGUCGGGGAAGAAAAUGACUGUACCCGAAUAAGAAGGUCCGGCUAACUUCGUGCCAGCCGCCGCGGUAAUAC
rnacentral:rRNA from 1 species